AGGCGGCCAAACCGCGAUGGAAACACCCGGACCCAUUCCGAACCCGGAAGUUAAGCAUCACAAGGAUUG
rnacentral:rRNA from 1 species